rnacentral:tRNA from 1 species
GAUAGCGUGGCCGAGCGGUCUAAGGCGCUGGAUUAAGGCUUCGGAGGCGUGUGUUCGAAUCCCACCGCUGUCA